rnacentral:rRNA from 1 species
GAUGAACGCUGGCGGCGUGCCUAAUACAUGCAAGUCGAACGAAGCUUCUUUAUCACCGAGUGCUUGCACUCACCGAUAAAGAGUUGAGUGCGAACGGGUGAGUAACACGUGGGCAACCUGCCCGAAAGAGGGGGAUAACACUUGGAAACAGGUGCUAAUACCGCAUAACCAUGAACACCGCAUGGUGUUUAUGUGAAAGGUGGUUUCGGCUACCGCUUUCGGGUGGGCCCGCGCCGCAUUAGCUAGUUGGUGGGGUAAAGGCUUACCAAGGCAAUGAUGCGUAGCCGAACUGAGAGGUCGAUCGGCCACAUUGGGACUGAGACACGGCCCAAACUCCUACGGGAGGCAGCAGUAGGGAAUCUUCCACAAUGGGCGAAAGCCUGAUGGAGCAACGCCGCGUGGGUGAAGAAGGUCUUCGGAUCGUAAAACCCUGUUGUCAGAGAAGAAAGUGCAUGAGAGUAACUGUUCAUGUUUCGACGGUAUCUGGCCAGAAAGCCACGGCUAACUACGUGCCAGCCGCCGCAGUAA